rnacentral:rRNA from 1 species
AUUGAACGCUGGCGGCAGGCCUAACACAUGCAAGUCGAGCGGAGCGGCGGACGGGCGAGUAAGGCCUAGGAAGCUGCCUGGUAGUGGGGGAGGACGUACGGAAACGGGCGGUAACACCGCAGACUAUCAGACGAGCCUAGGUCGGAUGAGCUAGUUGGUGGGGUAAAGGCCUACCAAGGCGACGAACCGUAACUGGUCUGAGAGGAUGAUCAGUCACACUGGAACGGAGACACGGUCCAGACUCCUACGGGAGGCAGCAGUGGGGAAUAUUGGACAAUGGGCGAAAGCCUGAUCCAGCCAUGCCGCGUGUGUGAAGAAGGUCUUCGGAUUGUAAAGCACUUUCAGUUGGGAGGCGUUACCAACAGAAUAAGCACCGGCUAACUCCGUGCCAGCAGCCGCGGUAAUUC